rnacentral:rRNA from 1 species
UGCAAGUCGAGCGGACAGAUGGGAGCUUGCUCCCUGAUGUUAGCGGCGGACGGGUGAGUAACACGUGGGUAACCUGCCUGUAAGACUGGGAUAACUCCGGGAAACCGGGGCUAAUACCGGAUGGUUGUUUGAACCGCAUGGUUCAAACAUAAAAGGUGGCUUCGGCUACCACUUACAGAUGGACCCGCGGCGCAUUAGCUAGUUGGUGAGGUAAUGGCUCACCAAGGCAACGAUGCGUAGCCGACCUGAGAGGGUGAUCGGCCACACUGGGACUGAGACACGGCCCAGACUCCUACGGGAGGCAGCAGUAGGGAAUCUUCCGCAAUGGACGAAAGUCUGACGGAGCAACGCCGCGUGAGUGAUGAAGGUUUUCGGAUCGUAAAGCUCUGUUGUUAGGGAAGAACAAGUACCGUUCGAAUAGGGCGGUACCUUGACGGUACCUAACCAGAAAGCCACGGCUAACUACGUGCCAGCAGCCGCGGUAAUACGUAGGUGGCAAGCGUUGUCCGGAAUUAUUGGGCGUAAAGGGCUCGCAGGC